rnacentral:lncRNA from 1 species
CUAGAACAUUUAAGUAAAAAUACAAAUUUAGAAUGAAAACUAAAAUAAAUAAUAUAUAUGCAAGGUAAUAAUAUACAAUGCAUUUUCUUAAUCAAGUAAAUCUUGGUAAUAAAAGAUAUAAUACAUUUACUUAAUCAAGGAAAUCUUGUAAUGAACUCAAACCAAUGAGCCUUAGAGAAAAACUUUUGAGCAUGGCUUCGAAUUUGAACCGCAAAUUUAGCUCCUACAUACUCUGCAUGAAAAUAAGAGUAUCUGUUCAAACCAUAGUGAACAUGGCAAAGAUAAGUAAAUCAAUUCAACUUUUUAAGAUUGUUUUAUAAUGUUAUAGUAAAUUAUUAAAAAAUACAUCUAAAAAUAAUAAUAACUCAACUUUUUAAGAUUGUUUGUGAAAUAAAAAAAUGUACACUACUGAUAUAUCUACUCACUUAAGUUAAUAUAGGUAACCAAAGUUCAAUCAUAUCUGCUGUCUGGACUCGUACAUGUAACCAACACUCACACUUGACUAAAAGUGUCAUAGAUUUGUUAUGCAAUGUACACAAGUAAAAGAAAAAUGAUAUAAGUUCAUUUUUUAUUAAAU